UCAAAAGUUUUUUCUCUCUCUCUCUAGAUCAUCUCUCCCCUAACACACAUCAAGCGAUGUCGUCCAAGGCAGAAAAAGAUGCUAUAAAACACAGGUUAAACGCAAAAUUGUACAAAGCUUUGCUGAAAGAAGAAGCGACGGACAAGGUGAAAGAACUGUGCAGAGAUGUUGAAGAAAAAGGAUUACAUAUAUUGACAAUACAUGAUGACACUGUGCUACAUGCGGCCACUUACUCCAGACAAUCCCGAUUGGUACUCGACCUUCUAGAGGCAUUGCCUCCCGAUCAUCUCGAUAAAAUGACCCGCCAAAACCACCAAGGAAAUACCAUCCUCCAUGACGCGGCCACAUCCGACAACCUUGAUGUGGCACAGAAGGUGUUGGAGAAAGCUCCGGGACUCUUAAGCAUGCGUAACCACCUUGGAGAAACCGCGCUCUUUCGAUCUGUUCGCUAUGGCAAGGAAAAGAUAUUCAACUUUCUUAUGGAUAAAAUUUCCAGUUACAGUGAAGCUAAUCAGCAACUCUUCCUUUGGAGGAGUGACAAAACCACCAUUCUUCACGUUGCCAUUCUUGCUCAUCAUUUUGAUUUGGCCCUUAAAAUUGCAGAAAAGUUCAAAUACUUGGUUAAUGAAAGAGACGCGGAUGGGAUGACCGGUCUUCAACAUCUAUCAUGCAACCCUGGAGCUUUUCUACGAGAGGAUAAAGUGGAAUUCCUCCAGAAUAUCUUCAAUUCUAUCAGGUUACACUGUAGCUCGGCUAUACAGUCAAAAGUUGAAGAGCAAGAGACUACUAGAUAUGAAUCAGCUAUGAAGCUUGCCAAGUUCUUAAUAGAAAAAGAUUUCUCUUGGGAGGCAACUUAUCCUGGAAUAGACAAUAGUAAGCCCACGCUUCAUAAAUAUGGUACUGGGAGUCAUAGCGUAGAGAAGGGAGUUGGACAAGGCCCCGGCCUGUUAAUGACAUCGCUUGGUCAAAGCUGGGAUCAACCGGACACAACUACUCCUUUAUUUAUGGCAACAAAGUCGGGCUGCAUAGACAUUGCAGAAGAAAUCCUGAAUUGUUACCCCCAGGCAGUUGAGCAUAUUGAUGAGAAAGGGCGAAAUAUAUUGCAUAUAGCGAUCAAGUAUCGCCAGUUAAAGAUUUUUGAGCUUGUGAAGGGAUAUAAGUGCCAAUGAAGAGGCUGGUAGGAAAAGUAGAUGACGAAGGAAAUUCAAUACUUCAUACAGUUGGAAUAAAAAUGGCAGAUUAUAUACCCGAGAAACUACGAGGCCCUGCACUUGAAUUGCGGGAGGAAAUGCUGUGGUAAUUUGAGCGUGUGAAGUCAGUCAUCCCACCCCAUUUCGUCGAUCACCGUAACGAUAUGAAGCUGACCGCUGACGGGUUAUUUU